rnacentral:rRNA from 1 species
UACAGAGGGUGCGAGCGUUGUUCGGAAUUAUUGGGCGUAAAGCGCAUGUAGGCGGCUUGUUAAGUCACGUGUGAAAGCCCCGGGCUCAACCUGGGAAUGGCAUUUGGGACUGCAAGGCUUGAGUGCGGCAGAGGAGACUGGAAUUCCUGGUGUAGCAGUGAAAUGCGUAGAUAUCAGGAGGAAUACCGAUGGCGAAGGCAGGUCUCUGGGCCACUACUGACGCUGAGAAGCGAAAGCAUGGGGAGCGAACAGG